CAGCGCAGCCCCUCCUGUCGGCGUGGCCGUACCUGACAAGCUGCUGCUGCUUCCACUCCUCGAUUCGCUUCUGUGCUGUGGAUUCCCGGUCCUCUUCACUGGAACUCGAAUUAUCCUCCUCGUCUAACUCCCGCUGGAUACUCUGCCAUUUCUUAACCAAAGAUGGCAUUUUGGUUUUACUUUUCUUUGCCUAAAACGAAGUUACAGAUCAGAGGAAUGUAAUACAUAAAUAAGGAAAGAGGCCCUUUAAACUGGAGAUCAAGAUCUUUCCCUGAAACCCAGGAAGAAAUGCGAUGUUGGCUGCAUCCAGAAACUCCCAAGGCUGCCACGUAUCAUGGAAGUGGCAGAAAGAAUGACAUAAGUCUACGCAUUCCAUCCUGAGAUGCUGGCUGGCUGAUAUCAGAACGUGGACUAGACCCUGACACACUACCAUCUCCUUCUUCCAAGGCUCGUAACUCUGCCUACAAAGAAUGUGUUAAUAAAAUUAGCAUGACAUUAAUUACUUAUCAACACUAUGACCGGUCCACUUUUAUUACUACUGGAAACAGAAAUUGCUUUCUCCUUCGUAUAUAUAUCUGUAUUUACCACAAAACCAGCUUCAGUACCUGUUACAGAACUGAGAAGGGAAUGUAAACACAAACAAAAGGUAAAUACCCACAGCAGCUGUUUUCUCUUACAUAAUUUCUUCUUCAGGUCUAGCCUUACCUGGGCUGGUAAUGCUGUAAUCCCUGCACCUGUGUGG